CUUAAUAGUGUAGUUUAUUGACUAAUCUUGUGAUAAAUAAAGUAUCAUAUAAGGUUUGUUCUACUCUCAGGUUCUACUACCAGUCCGUAGAUUGAAUUUCCAAUCAUGGUUAAAACUAUUAUAAAAAUACCGGUUUUCUGUAUCUUGCCCCAAAGAUUAAAUUCCAAUCCCUCAAAUCACCUUAUGUCAGACUUCAGACUCCCCCUGACUUAUAUGGUUUAAUAAUAAUUGACAGCUGUGCUGGCUUCUGACACCAUUUUUAUCAAGAGAAAAGUCAAUAUAUGAGUCCAAAAUCUAAUACUAGCCCAAUGGUCAUAACACUAGAGAUUCCAAUGCAUAGUUUCCCAGAUGCUGUCAAAUUCCUGAGCAGUUUAAAACUUGGGUCAGUCUUGUUGGUGGAAACCCUUAAACAUCUGAUCUUGAAUGUUAUAAGAAGAAGAGAAUUUGUGAUAUACACUUUUCUGACAGACACAGUAAUCAUAAUGAAUGGCUAAGCACAUUGGCAGUUCCGAUGCUUCAUCUGCUUGGACAACUACAGAGUCAAGUAAUCUUAGGACGAGCUUCACCCACACAACAUUUACUGCCUACAAUAGUACAGCAAGACUGUUCAGAGCCAUAUGAGAGCAACUUUAUUUUAGAAAAAGCAUCAACUUCAACAACAUUCCAACCUGUGGCUGCAGAUGCAUCUCAAGGUGCUUGAUGCUGGAACAUAAUUAUAGUUUUAUUAGCAAGCCUAAAAUAACAGCUGGAAAAGAUCUAAUGGCUCCACAGCGCACAAAGAUCAAGCAUCUUCAAGCAGAAAUAUCGCGCUUGCGAAAAAAAGGACAAUAUUUCAAAGCAAGGUUAAAAGGUGGUGCAGAUCGAUCAAUCGAAUUUUGUGAGGAAAAUUAACAUAUGUGGGUGAAGACGAAACAAAAACAGCUGCCCAACAAUAUUAUGAUAAACAUAAACAUUAUAAAAAUAAAAAAUAAUAUGCAAA